CCUCUCCCGAUUCCCCUCUUCCCCAUGCCUCCUUCUCCGUCGCCCCUCUCUUCUUCUCUGAUCUCGUGCCGCUCUCUCCUUGUACUAUUGAAGCGACCAUUGCUUGACUUGCCAACGAUGCCACUAUCGCGUGUCCUACUCGCGAGGGUUCCGGUCUGGUGCUCGACUCCUGCUUGUGGGUAGUCGAAGAAGCCGCCACCCUCUUCCUCACGCGCCUCUACCCUAGAUUGUCCGAUCGUCAAUCCACCAUCGCCAGCACCUAAGCGCCACCCGACGGCUCCCUAUGAUUCCAUCACUAUCACCCCAUUCCUCUUCACCACCUCGUGUUGCUCGUCGAAUCCCUAAUGGCUAUCGAAUAUGGUGGAUCUAGAAGAUGGUGAUGCCGGGGUUGACAUCGAGCACCUGCGGGAGGAAUGCCUCAUUGUUCCUAAUUCCCUUCCAUCGCCGGCGUGCUAUCUCAGCACGACCCCUUGAUCGAUCUCCGAUAAUUCCACUUCAACCCUUCCAUGGCACUGCCCAUGGAACAACACCAGCCAUAGUGUCGGCCUCUGGUUUCGUUUUCCCCUCAGAUGCAGUAACAAGCAUCUACCAGCCCGAGAUUUGGCUCCACAAUCAGUUGCUGCUGAUGAGGUAUGCACAUUUUAGAUCGGUAACUUGCAGUAUUGAAUGGAUGAGAGCUACAUCUACAGUUGCCUUGUGCAAAUUGGAUAGGUAACUUCUGUAUAAUUAAUCCAUAAUAGCAGUAUGAAGGUUGUGGUUUUAUUGAGUUUGUAACUUGUGUGGUUACAAAUCGAGUUCUUCAUGCUAUAAUGGUUAAGAGAUGCUAAAGUCAGAACAAGUUUUCAGAUUGAAUGGGCCGACAUGGCAAGCAGAGUUUUGAUUUGAAGAUAUUCAGCGUGACUUACAAUAAAGGUAACAAGUAAAUGUUGGAGGAGUUUCUUGGCUGCCAGCCCCAUGUCACAUCCGAGAUCUGUUUUCUAGUUAUUUCACACUGUUCUAUUCUUACUUUAUUUUUCGGACUUGGUGUGUAGUGAUUCAACUUGCUUUUGGAUUUUAGCCUUGUGGCCCCAUUUAUUCGUUUUGGGUUUAUAUUAUGGUGUAAGUCAUGCCGGCAUGCAGUCAAUGUUUUAUCUUGCGUAGUUUGUGUUUGUACCAGCCGUGUAGGCUGUGUAACUUUAUUAUUUUCUACUGUAUUCUCUGUUUCA